AGGGUGGUUGUGGAAAGAGAGAUGUACUCACCCAAAGGCUCCUCCUGCAAUGCAACACAACAAAAGCAGACUCGGUGCCGGUUGGAGUAAACCACUUUGGCCACGACGAUGGCGGAGGCCACGAUAAGAGCGGCGAUGAACACGCCGAUAACGGCGCCCGUGUAAGCCAAGGAAGCUGCGGAAAUGAAAAGGCGGCGUGGCUGACCUCCAGCUCGAACACGGCCAGCGGGUUCUCGCUGCGGCAGAAGUACACGCCCUCGUCGUCCUUGCUGACGUUGGCGAUGGUCAGCCGGUAGAUGGGGCCGUCCACGGACAGGAAGUACUUGGCGCCGGCCACGAUCUCCACUUGCUCCCGGCCCCGCCUCCAGGUGGUGUUGGCCGGCGGGGCGGACGUGGACUCCGUGCAGUAAACCAGCAGCUGGGCGCUCCUGUUGGCGGCGUUGUGGCUGACGGUGUUGUUGGCCGAGCAGCUGUAGACCCCCUGAGCGGCGGGCUGCACGUCCUUCAUCCUGAAGUCCAGCCAGGGAGCCUGGGACGACGCCAACAAGUGGUUAACGUCCGCCGCCCCUCUGAAGGUCCAGUUCAGAUGCUGGGACGGGUAAGAAUCGGCGACGCAGUGGAAGGAGACGGUGGAGCCGCGGUAGGUGACCAGCGUCCCGUUGGACAGGACGGUGGCGGGGUUGAUGGACACGGACAUGUUUGCUGGACCGCCUGGAGGAAGACGCCAUCAUUUUCUUUUGUGAUGUCAAUAUAAAAACAAAUAUUUUUACAAUAUAUUAUAUAUACAGUCGCGAUCAAAAGUGUACAUACACGUGUAAAGAACAUAAUGUCAUGGCUGUCUUGACUUUCCAAUCAAACUCUAAUUUGUUUGUGAUAGAGUGAUUGGAGCACAUACUUGUUGGUCACAAAAAACAUUCAUGAAGUUUGCUUCUUUUAUGAAUGUAUUAUGGCUCUACUGAAAAUGUGACUAGGUCAAAAGUCAUUGGCGUUGUUAGGCCUAUUUUAGGGGGGCUGAAGCCCCCUUAAAAUGUUCCUAAGCCCCCCUAAAUAAUUUAGAGAUAAAAAAAAAAAAGCUUUUUUUUUUUUUUUAAACAAAUACAUGCCAACAUAUUCGUUAUAAAGUGGCCCGAAUAUGAGUUUAAAUACAUAAUCAUAUAACCUGUCAUUAUUCACUCAGUUUCCCCUCACUUCAUAGCGUAAGUAAGGUAGAGAGCCCUUUUAGUGCGUCGGUAUCCAAUCCAUUCCACUUGUUCAUAUAGAAAAUGCCCACAUCACUCAAAAUCCAGUCCGCAUUUUCUCUGCGACCUUGCUUGCGGUCCUUGGACUUGUUCAUAUAGAAAAUGCCCACAUCACUCAAGAUCUAGUCCGCAUUUUCUCUGCAACCUUGCUUGCGGUCCUGCAGGUGUACGAAGUACAUUAGCACACAGCUAACUUACAAUUGUAAAUAAUUUAGUUUUUAAGUUUUGUGUUUCUUGUAGAAUCUAUAUAAAGUAAUAUACUUUAGCCUAUUGUUAAAAUAAUGAAAAAAACAUUAAAUAUAUUUGUUUUAUUGUAUUGUUACAUUAAUAGCUGUUGUAUUAUUAUAGGAUGGCUUGUUAAACAUUUCAUAGGAUUUUCAGAGGGUGGAAAAACCAAGACAUUUAAUAUAAAAUGUAAAAUGAAUAAAUACAUAAAAAGAAAAAGAAAAAAAAUGGUUAAAAGCCAUCGUCCUGGGAGCAUUUAAUUUUGUGCCGUGCAUUUUUUUUUACCGUCCCCGGGACGACGGGACUACAUUAAUCUCAAGCCCUGGAAGUUACAUUUUAUUGUUUGCAUUAUUUGUUUCAGCAUUGCACUUUGAAGAUGGUCCCUCAGCUUUUUGACAGCUUUGGUUCUUUUUCAGAUCAGCAGACGGACUCUAAGUCUUUCUUAUUUACAGUAUAUAAAAAAGUUUCUCAUUUCUAUUCAGACUUCCAUAUAUAUUUAAUUUCCUUAACGGCUUGCCAUAAUAUAUAUAUAUAUAAAUAUAUUAUAUACAAGCCAAAUUAUCCUGAUCCAGAUAUUACUUUAAUUCAAGUAAUUAAGUAAUAUUUCCAGGGCUUGAAUUUACAACCAUUUUAGUCACAUAUGUGCCCAAAAUGUAAUCUGUGCAACUUCAGAAUAUUUGGGAACAAACAAUUAUUGUAUUGUGAGUUAAAGUGGUGGCAUUAGCCUCUAUGUUGUGAAUGAAUAACAUAAAGGCUAAUGCCAUGACUUUCAUUGUGUUUCAGUGUAUCUUGAAGGAUCAUGCAAGUCAUUGUUUCUUGUU